UUAUGUAACCUCUUUCCCCAAGAGGGAUUCCUCCCAGGCAAAGAGGUCAGUAACCUACUUGCCCAGGAGUAAUCCCUCUUGGGAAAGCACUA